UUCAAUUUCUCAUACCCUUGGUCAUAAAUAUCAUGUAAACAACAACAACACAAGCAGGUUUAUGUCAUACUCUGCAUCCUGAUCAAUCAAUCGACUAAUCGAUGAUUAUGCGCAUGCUUAAUUUGUCUUCCCCUCACAGAGGCUGGUGACUCGAGCACCUUUCCCAUGAUUCCACAUCUGGGGAUUGAGCAAUCCAUCCCAGGGGAUGCCAUUCGACCUCCGUUUUACAUUUAAACAAAAACACAACCAUUUGCCAUAGAAAUUAAUGGAUUUGUAAUUAUUCUGGUCCAGAGUGAAACUAACUGAGCACCAAGAUGAUUUAUUCAUUGUUUGGAAACAUUUGUCCCAACAUGCUGACCUAUUCCUUUAAAAAACCCUGUAAAGUGAAUUCAGAGAUUUGCUACUAAAUGCAUUCUUCAUUUUUUAAUACAGUUGUUGAAAACAUGUGCAAAGACUGAACUGAGAACUGUGAAAAGAUCGUAGUAGAUUUAACGUUAAACAGUUUUGCGCUAUUUUGGGUUCCCUCUUUUUAUUAUUAUUAUUAUUAUUUUCUUUUUUUUUUUUUGAGUGGAGAAAACACAUUUGAGGCAUCUGGCAUAAUUCAUUCCUCCCCACAAUGUCGCAGUUGUGACGUACAGCGAGCUGGGUUCACAAUUGUCUGCUGUUGUGGCCGCUUUAGAGCGCCUCAUUGUCAGCCAUGAGUGUCAUGUCGCGGAGAUAAAGACAAAAGAGUGAGGAACGGGGAUUUUCUUCAUUUUAAAAAAUUAUUAUUGUUUUUUAUACUUGACAGACAGCGCCUGGACAGGUUUUGCCGCUUUAGAGCUCUCUAUUGUCACGCAGAUAUAUUUUCACAGCUCAAACAUGGAGUAAUGUGUAGACGUAAGAAGGUGCUAGGCAAAAUAGCCUCCGUUUUUCCAGGACGUAGUAGAAGUAUUUGAUUAACAGUUGAGGGGGGGUGGGUGGCACGCCCACAACAUUCGAGACCAGACAUUGGCUUAAUUUUUCAUGAUUUAGAAGCCUCAUUUAAUAUACUUGCCCCUUUCAUUUAAAUUUGGCAAAGUCAUGAACACAAUUCUCUGUGAUGUGUCAAAUUCAGAACACAUUUUCACUUUACAGGGACUUUAAGACAUACAGUCUUGCCAUUUAAGGUAAGGUUUUAUGACAAUCAUUUUUAAUAGUGCUGAGUGUGCAAAACAAGAAUUAAAAAAAAUAAACAGAUGAGCACUUAACUAACUCUCCAGAUUGAUUUUGGAGCUCACCUUCCCAUAGCGGAUGUCACUUUGCCUUCUUUUGACAGACAGCACACUUGAGUUUAGAGCCAAUAGUGACGUAGUGCACUCCAAUUUGCCCCAAUCGCUUCUAAGACUCAACUAAUCAAUUCAAUUGAUUGCCUACGCCCAUCCUUCUUGUAAAAUUUUAUUGAGGUAAAAUUUGUUUCACUUCUUCCAGGUGAAGAUUGAAAACAAUAUUUGAAAUGUGGCUUGAAAAAAAGGGACAAAG